rnacentral:misc_RNA from 1 species
GGAGAUUUGAGCUAUUUAUAUAAGCAUCAAAUAAAUUUAGAUUUGUUAAGAUUGUGAUUAUAUCAGAUUUUUUUAUCUUAAAAGAAGUCUAAUUAAAGUGUAAUUUGAAAUCUAACUAAAUAUGAAUACUUAUAAAAAUAAUUAUACUAAUGGAUGAUGCUUAUAUUGGAUUAAGAUUAUCAUUCAAUUAGGUAAUAUCAUGAUGUUUGAAUCAUAUGAUGCGAUGGACAAAUUAUUCUUGUGUUCGAACUAUACUAUAAUUCGAGAUAUUGACUAUUCAUACGUUUUGGUUGACUGAGUCGAACAUUUGAGUAUUUUUAGAGUGCGCUGCAUUCCUACCCCAUAUUUUUUAAGAGAGGGAGACUUUGCCAUGGCCAUUGCUGAUUGGUGAGCUGAAGAAAGUGGAUGGAUGGAGCAGGAGUUUGGUGAGGGUAUGAGAUGUUUGGAGCUUGUAAGAGUCAUGGAUGGAGCAGGAGUUUGGUGGGUUGAGAUUGAAAAUGGGAGUGGUGCAUGGUAACAGGGGAAAGAGAGAGAGAGAGAUAGAAGGGGGAGGAUGGGAUGGGUAAUAUAUGAAUAAAAAUCUCUCAUUAAACUAGUUUUUACAUUAUUGAUUAGCGGCAUUAGCUUACAGUUCUUUCUGGGCCAAUAAAGUCUGGCAAUUC